AUUGAACGCUGGCGGCAUGCCUAACACAUGCAAGUCGAACGGUAACAGGAAGUAGCUUGCUGCUUCGCUGACGAGUGGCGGGUGGGUGAGUAAUGUCUGCGAAGCUGCCUGAUGUAGGGGGAUAACUACUGGAAUCGUUAGCUAAUACCGCAUAAUGUCGCAAGACCAAAGAGGGGGACCUUGGUUCCCCUUGCCAUCUGGUGUGCGCAGAUGGGAUUAGCUUGUUGGUGGGGUAACGGCUCACCAAGGCGACGAUCCCUAGCUGGUCUGAGAGGAUGACCAGCCACACUGGAACUGAGACACGGUCCAGACUCCUACGGGAGGCAGCAGUGGGGAAUAUUGCACAAUGGGCGCAAGCCUGAUGCAGCAAUGCCGCGUGUAUGAAGAAGGCCUUCGGGUUGUAAAGUGCUUUCAGCGGGGAGGAAGGGAGGAAAGUUAAUACCUUGGGUUAAUGACGUUACCCGCAGAAGAAGCACCGGCUAACUACGUG
rnacentral:rRNA from 1 species